rnacentral:rRNA from 1 species
GACGAACGCUGGCGGCGUGCCUAAUACAUGCAAGUCGAGCGCAGGAAGCUGACGGAACUCUUCGGAGGGAAGGCAGUGGAAUGAGCGGCGGACGGGUGAGUAACACGUAAGGAACCUGCCUCAAGGAUUGGGAUAACUCCGAGAAAUCGGAGCUAAUACCGGAUAGUUCAACGGACCGCAUGGUCCGGUGAUGAAAGGCGCUUCGGCGUCACCUUGAGAUGGCCUUGCGGUGCAUUAGCUAGUUGGUGGGGUAACGGCUCACCAAGGCGACGAUGCAUAGCCGACCUGAGAGGGUGAUCGGCCACACUGGGACUGAGACACGGCCCAGACUCCUACGGGAGGCAGCAGUAGGGAAUCUUCCACAAUGGACGAAAGUCUGAUGGAGCAACGCCGCGUGAGUGAUGAAGGUUUUCGGAUCGUAAAACUCUGUUGUAAGGGAGGAACACGUACGAGAGGGAAUGCUCGUACCUUGACGGUACCUUACGAGAAAGCCACGGCUAACUACGUG